AUCACAAAUAAAAAAAAAUGGUUCAUUCCCAAAAAAUGAUAAUGAAACUAAACAAAUCACUGGGUUGGGCUUUUAACAACAGUCCUGACUGGUACCAACAAAAUGGAGGACUUAUAACCUACAUUACAAAACAACUUCUGGCAGUUAAGCACAUAAAAACAUAUGCUAAAUGUAAAUAAUAUUUUAAAAUAUUAAAUAUUUCAGCACUGCCCUCAGUGUGAUUCACCUUGACAUACAUACUCCAAAUUCUAUUGUGCACUAUAAACAAAACACUUAUUUAAGAUAAUGAAAUUGUUAGAAUUCAAAUAAGCUUUAUAUAGGCCUAUACAUUUAAUUGUAAAGGUUUAGCACAGGGCAUUGUGCCAGUUUGGUUCGGUUAAUGGACUGAUAAUCCCCCAAAGUUCCCAGAGGGGGAACUGUAGGGGUGUGUAGCUUUAUGGUUUCAUCAACAGAAAUGUGGUGAACUGCGGCAUUCAGAACAAAUAAGCUUUUUGUUUGGGAAGUCCCUUCAGUAAUAGUUGUAUGGGGUGAUAAAGAGCUCCCCCAAGAGACUAAUAAAUAUAUUUCUCUUCUGACCAACUAACGGAUAGUGUUUUUGUCAGUAGAUAGGAUAUAUUACAUCUUUUUGGUCCACUUUUCUUUUGUAAUCAUUUUUAUAUAACUUACUAGUGUUGUCAGAAAAUAUCAUCAUUCAAAAAAAGUAUUUUCAUAUAUUAGCUAAAACCGCUACAUAUUGUUUCCUGAUAAUCCGAACCUGAUUCUUUCUCGCACACAUGGCAACUUCUUACGAAUCAUGCGGCCAAUCAAAAGUAAUAAAACAAAUUUAAGGCGCCAAAUAUGCUAGUUCGUCUGAUUUCUAAUGCACAGACAUUGGCGCCACCUUGUGAACAUAAAUAUGCACAGUUUCUCAACAAGACGGCAUGACAGCGUUUAUAUAAAAAAUCCCACUGAAGAUCACUUAGUCUAUAAACUAUUAUGUUAACAGUUAACCUUGUAAAAUACAUUUCUAUAUAUAUAUAUUAUUGUUAAUAACACUUAAAUUGUAUUGCUCAAAUUGUUUGCCUAUAAUCUGAAUCUUGCAGCACAUGUGGUCUGAGGUGUGAUGGUUUGUGGGUUAUGUGUUAGGCAAGAAAAAAAACAUAGGUAGUGGUGUGGUUAUGUUCAAAUAAUAUGGUAACCAUGAUGGGUUAGGGCAUGUCCCAGUGAUUCUUUAUUGCUCUGUUUGAGCCUAGGAGAUAUAUAAAUAUAGGCUAGGAGAUCAAACAGAACAAUAAAGAACCCACUUGCACGUCAUGUGCCCUAACCCAUAGUUACUGUAUAGUUACCCAUAGUUAGUUCAAUUCGUAAUAUCAUUGCGCCUGCUGCAGCCAUGGUACGGCAGCAAAGUUCCUUGAUUAUUACGCCGGAAUGAGAGUAUAGUUCCUAGCCAUAUCGGCCUAGAAAAUUGCAACUUUUAAUUUUCCGUCGGUCUUAGUACACAAUGUAACUACAGAAGAGUCAAGUUUUAAAUAGGAAAAAUAUUGAAACUCUUUUUAAUGAGAUGCUAACGGUCUAAUCAGAUUCAAUGAACUAUGCUAAUCUAUGCUAAAAGUGGUACCGCCAGACCCGGAGAUCGAAUGGAUUCGAAAACGGUAAAACUCAACUGUUUAACUAUAGGGGAGUUGGAAAAUGAGCCUAUUUUCAAAAAAAAAGUGGAGUGUUCCUUUAAUGUAGGUUUUUUUUUUUUCUUUUUUUUUUUUUUUAACAAAGCAGCUAAUAUUGCCAUAGAAACUAAUGGACUGCCGAGUCGCUUUCACGCCAAAAUAGCGGAAACGCAGGGCCACUGCUGGGCGCCGGUGUUUCAAUGGAACGUUCUAUUGAGUUUCGCUUCUUGUUAGUGUAUAUUCUUUGGUUAAGAUAAGUUGUGAGUUUCUGAUAUUAAAGACAUGGUGAAAAGAUAAGUUGUGAGUUUCUGAUAUUAAAGAUAUGUUGAAAAGGAAGGGUACUUUGUUUUCUGUGGACCAAAUCAUUGUCAAUAGCCACAGCACCACUUUCAGUGAUACUGUUGAGUUUGCACCCUACAACUUCAGUUUCUGUUUACACUGAGAUGUCGGAAGACUCUUAAAUCAUCUUCCUGCGCAUGCUGUAAAACGUGCCUUUUCAAGAUAAACCCCAAGGGAUCAAAAGCUGAGAAGAGCACUUCAAGAAAGCAGAUGAUGGUCAGUCCACAGCAUGUGUGUCAAACUCCGCUCCUGGGGGGCCACUGUCCCGCAGAACACCUGCCUGGAAGUUUCUAGUCAAGUCAAGUCACCUUUAUUUAUAUAGCACUUUUUACAAUAUAGAUUGUGUCAAAGCAGCUUUACAUUGAUAACUGGUACAUUGUUUGGCUGCACAGCACAGCAGCACAGCAGCUCUUAAAGAAUAGUGUCAAUGCAGGCAGAUCAAAGCACUGUUGAAUAUCAAAUGUCAAGUCAAAUGUCAAGUGUCCCCAACUAAGCAAGCCAGAGGCGACAGCGGCAAGGAACCCAAACUCCAUCAGGUGACAUCAGGUGGCAGACAAGUGGCAAAUUGGUGUUAAAAUGGAGAAAAAAACCUUGGGAGAAACCAGGCUUAGUCGGGGUGCCAGUUCUCCUCUGGCCAACAGUGCUUUGUUACAAUUCAGGUUGCUAUCAUAAGUCCAAUAGGAUCGCAACAUUAAAAGUAUUUAUUCCAGUUCCAUCCAAUUGAGGAUCGUAUUGAGGAUCACGCCGGUAUGGACGGUUGUUGAGGAACUGUGUCGUGGCUGUCAUGUCGAUGAGGCCCUCACAGUGGAUGAUCUAGUUGACUCAAUCUCUGCUGAUACGUCAGGGCUGCGUUGUGGUCGUGUCAAGGUGCAGGUCCUUGGUCUCACCUGGAUAUGGCCCGGAUCCGGUUGACUACGGUGAACCUCGGGAUAAACAGAAAGACUAAUAUUAGCGUAGAUGCCAUUCUUCUUCUGAUGUAACGAGUACAUCAGGUGUUAUAGGAAGUGUUCCCGGCUCCGGCUGACCUAAUUUAUGCAGCCUAAUAAUCCUUUAAUGGAUUUGAAAAUAUAAAUUGGUAAUGUGUUAUGUGUAUGCCAGGUUAAAGAGAUGCAAUUUUAAUCUAGAUUUAAACUGACAGAGUGUGUCUGCUUCCCGAACAAUGCUAGGAAGAUUGUUCCAGAGUUUAGGUGCCAAAUAGGAGAAGGAUCUACCACCUGCAGUUGAUUUUGAUAUUCUAGGUAUUAUCAGCUGGCCUGAAUUCUGAGAUCGCAAUAGACGUGAAGGACUAUAAUGAAUUAGGAGCUCGCUCAGGUACUGGGGAGCUAAACCAUUUAGUGCUUUGUAAGUAAUUAGCAAGAUUUUAAAAUCUAUACAAUGUUUAACAGGAAGCCAAUGCAGUGUUGACAGAACUGGGCUAAUAUGGUCAUACUUCCUAGUUCUAGUAAGAACUCUAGCUGCUGCAUUUUGUACGAGCUGUAGUUUAUUUAUCAGGCGAGCAGAACAACCACCCAGUAGAGCAUUACAGUAAUCUAGCCUUGAGGUCAUGAACGCAUGAACUAACUGUUCUGCAUUUUUCAUUGAGAGCAUAUGUCGUAGUUUAGAUAUAUUUUUAAGAUGGAAGAAUGCCGUUUUACAGAUGCUAGUAACAUGGCCUUCAAAUGAAAGAUUGGUAUCAAAGAGCACACCCAGGUUCCUAACUGACGACGAAGACUUAACAGAGCAGCCAUCAAGUGUUAGACAAUAUUCUAGGUUAUUACGUGAAGAAGUUUUUGGUCCAAAAAUUAGAAUCUCUGUUUUUUUCUGAAUUUAGUAGUAGAAAAUUACUGGUCAUCCAAUUUUUUAUAUCAGCUAUGCAUUCCGUUAAUUUCGUGAAUUGGUAAGUUUCGUCAGGGCACGAAGAAAUAUAGAGCUGAGUAUCAUCAGCGUAACAGUGAAAACUAACGCCAUGCUUCCUAAUGAUAUCUCCCAAGGGUAGCAUGUACAGAGUGAACAGCAACGGUCCUAGUACUGAGCCUUGUGUUACUCCAUAUUGAACUUGUGAUCGAUAUGACAUGUCUUCAUUUACUACUACAAACUGAUAACGGUCAGAUAAGUAUGAUUUGAACCAUGACAAUGCAAUUCCACUAAUGCCAACAUAAUUUUCGAGUCUAUUUAAAAGAAUAUUGUGAUCAAUAUUGUCAAAUGCAGCACUAAGAUCCAGUAACACUAAUAGAGAGAUACAACCACAAUCUGAUGAUAAGAGCAAAUCAUUAGUAACUCUAAUGAGAGCAGUCUCAGUACUAUGGUACGGUCUAAAUCCUGACUGGAAAUCCUCACAGAUACCAUUUCUUUCUAAAAAGGAACAUAGUUGUGAUGAUACUGCCUUUUCUAGUAUUUUUGACAGAAAAGGGAGAUUUGAGAUCGGCCUAUAAUUGACUAAUUCUCUAGGAUCAAGUUGUGGUUUUUUAAUAAGAGGUUUAAUAAUAGCCAGCUUAAAAGUUUUUGGUACGUAUCCUAGUGAUAAAGAUGAAUUGACGAUAUUAAGAAGAGGAUCUAUGACCUCUGGAAGCAUUUCUUUCAAUAGCUUAGUCGGUAUAGGGUCUAUGUAACGCGCGUCGCGGCGCAAGUGCGACCCUCCCUCUCAAACAGUGAAUAACGGAAAUGAGCAGAGAAGGAAUACACCGUUUCUAGAUUUGGACCAGCGACCAGAAGAUCAGACUCGCUCAAGAGACUGUGUCAGCAACAAUGGUAGAAGGAAAUGACGACAACACUGGCUGCAUUAGAAACAGGACCACGUCGGAACUGCUGUUUCUCUCUCUCGCAUCGCGCAUUCUCGCUUCGUCUUCUCUCUCGCACAGCCCCGAUCGUAGGGCGGGGCUAACUCUUCGCUCUCCUCAUUGGACCAAUCUUCACAUUGUUUUAUUUGAAUAAUUUUUCAAAUUAGUUUUAUUUCUUUUUGAAUUUAUGCAUUUUCCUAUUUUCUAUUUCACAAAUGCUACUAAAAUAAAGCACUGAUUUACAUA